ACGAACGCUGGCGGCGUGGAUAAGACAUGCAAGUCGAGCGGGAUAUUUCGGGGUAGCAAUAUUCGGAAUGUUCAGCGGCGCAAGGGUGCGUAACACGUGGGUAAUUUGCCGUGAAGUCUGGAAUAACUUGCUGAAAGGCGAGCUAAUACCGGAUGUGAUUUUCAGGAGGCAUCUUCUGAAACUCAAAGUCGGGGACCGUAAAGCCUGACGCUUCACGAUAAGCCCGCGGCCUAUCAGCUAGGUUGGUGAGGGUAACGGCCCACCAAGGCUAAAGACGGGUAGCUGGUCUGAGAGGACGACCAGCCACACUGGAACUGAGACACGGUCCAGACACCUACGGGUGGCAGCAGUCGAGAAUUUUUCACAAUGGGCGCAAGCCUGAUGGAGCGACGCCGCGUGGGGGAUGAAUGGUUUCGAGCCCGUAAACCCCUGUCAUUUGCGAUCAAACCGCAUUCUUCAAUAAGACUGCAUGAGCUGAUUAGUAGUGAAAGAGGAAGGGACGGCUAACUCUGUGCCAGCAGCCGCGGUAAUACAGAGGUCCCAAGCGUUGUUCGGAUUCACUGGGCGUAAAGGGUGCGUAGGGUGGCCAGGUAAGUUUGGAUGUGAAAUCUCGAAGCUUAACUUCGGAAAAUGGCAUCGGAUACUAUCCUGGCUUAUGAGGAAUCGGAGGGGAGACUGGAAUUCUCGGUGUAGCAGUGAAAUGCGUAGAUAUCGAGAGGAACACCAGUGGCGAAGGCGAGUCUCUGGACAUCCUGACAGCUGAGGCACGAAAGCCAGGGGAGCAAACAGGAUUAGAUACCCUGGUAGUCCUAGGCCUUAAACGGUGCAGCAUUUGCUGUGAGAGGAAUCGACCCCUUUGUGGCGAAGCUAACGCGCUAAACGUGCGCGCCUGGGGAGUACGGUCGCAAGAUUAAAACUCAAAGAAAUUGACGGGGGCCUGCACAAGCGGUGGAGUAUGUGGCUUAAUUCGAUGCAACGCGAAGAACCUUACCUGGCCUUGACAUGCACGUAGUAGGAGCCUGAAAGGGUGACGACCUCGCAAGAGGAGCGUGCACAGGUGCUGCAUGGCUGUCGUCAGCUCGUGUCGUGAGAUGUUGGGUUAAGUCCCGCAACGAGCGCAACCCUUGUGUCCUGUUGCCACCCUAACGAGAGUUGGGAGCACUCUGGACAGACUGCCUCGCUUAAACGAGGAGGAAGGUGGGGAUGACGUCAAGUCAGGAUGGCCCUUACGGCCAGGGCUGCACACGUACUACAAUGCCCGGCACGAAGGGAAGCAAGACUGUAAAGUGGAGCAAAUCCCAAAAAACCGGGCUCAGUUCAGAUUGUCGGCUGCAACUCGCCGACAUGAAGCUGGAAUCGCUAGUAAUGGCGCAUCAGCUACGGCGCCGUGAAUACGUUCCCAGGCCUUGUACACACCGCCCGUCACAUCAUGAAAGCCGGUUGUACCCGAAGUCGUCGCGUUAACUCUGCAAAGAGAGACAGACGCCGAAGGUAUGGCUGGUGAUUGGGAUG
rnacentral:rRNA from 1 species